UCUGAACACCAGCCCCAGGAGACCAUUC
rnacentral:piRNA from 1 species